rnacentral:rRNA from 1 species
CUCGGAGUUUGAUCCUGGCUCAGAACGAACGCUGGCGGCAUGCUUAACACAUGCAAGUCGAACGAGGACUUCGGUCCUAGUGGCGAACGGUCGCGUAACACGUAAGCAACCUGCCCUGAAGUGGGGGACAACAUCCCGAAAGGGUGCUAAUACCGCAUGUGGUCACGAGUCGGCAUCGGCUUGUGUCUAAAGAUUUAUCGCUUCAGGAUGGGCUUGCGGCCUAUCAGGUAGUUGGUGGGGUAAUGGCCUACCAAGCCGACGACGGGUAGCUGGUCUGAGAGGACGAUCAGCCGGAUUGGGACUGAGAUACGGGCCCAGACGUCCUACGGGGGGCAGCAAUUAGGAAUCUUGCGCGAAAUGGGGGGAACCCUGACGCAGCGACGUCGCGUG